AUUGAACGCUGGCGGCAGGCCUAACACAUGCAAGUCGAACGGUAACAGGAAACAGCUUGCUGUUUCGCUGACGAGUGGCGGACGGGUGAGUCAUGUCUGGGAAACUGCCUGAUGGAGGGGGAUAACUACUGGAAACGGUAGCUAAUACCGCAUAACGACGCAAGAGCAAAGAGGGGGACCUUCGGGCCUCUUGCCAUCGGCUGUGCCCAGAUGGGAUUAGCUAGUAGGUGGGGUAACGGCUUACCUAGGCGACGAUCCGUAGCUGGUCUGAGAGGAUGACCAGCCACACUGGAACUGAGACACGGUCCAGACUCCUACGGGAGGCAGCAGUGGGGAAUAUUGCACAAUGGGCGCAAGCCUGAUGCAGCCAUGCCGCGUGUAUGAAGAAGGCCUUCGGGUUGUAAAGUACUUUCAUCGGGGAUGAAGGGAGUAAAGUUAAUACCUGUGCUCAUUGACGGUACCCGCAGAAGAAGCACCGGCUAACUCCGUG
rnacentral:rRNA from 1 species